UCAAUAAUAUUCUGUAUUGAAUAAACAGAGAGUAAAUUUGCAAGGAAAUGAGAGAAUGUUGGUGAUAUGGUUUGGCUAUGUGUCCUCACUCAAAUCUCAACUCAAAUUUUAAACCCCAUGCACAUGUCGAGGGAGGAUCCUGGUGGGAGGUGAUUGGCUCAUGGAAUCUAUUUCCCUGAUGCUGUUCCCGAUGCUGUUCUUGUGACAGUGAGGGAUUUCUCACAAGAUCUGAUGGUUUAAACGUGGCAGUUUCCCCUGAGGUCUCCUUCCUGCUGGUAUGUAAGGCGUGCCUUGCUUCCCCUUCACCUUCCGCCAUUGUACAUUUCCUGAGGCCUCCGCAGCCACACAGAACUGCAUACAACUCAGGAUUCAUAACUACAUAUAUACGGAUAGAAGUGCAUGAACAGAAAAUCUGCUCUUCUAGAAUACCAAAUGCAAAAUUAAAGUCACUACAAGCAGAAUUUGGAGAAAACAAAUAAAAGAUGCAAUAUAGUUUUUAAAAUCAUUGUUAAAAUAUAAUGAGUCUGUACUUUGCUUAAACAAUAAAAAAUGUCUUUGAUUUAUA